UAAUAGCAUAUAUUAAAGUUGUUGCAGUUAAAAAGCUCGUAGUUGGAUUUCUGGGAGGGUGCCAAUGUCCGCCGACGUGCGUGCGCAGCGGCGCCCUUCCAUCCUUCUGUUAACGCCUCUUGGCAUUCAUUUGCUGGUGGCGGGCUCAGAUAUUUUACCUUGAGAAAAUUAGAGUGUUUCAGGCAGGCUAGGCCGGAAUACAUUAGCAUGGAAUAAUGGAAUAGGACUACGGUCUCUUUGUUGGUUUGAGGGACUGCAGUAAUGAUUAAUAGGGAUAGUUGGGGGCAUUAGUAUUUAAUUGUCAGAGGUGGAAUUCUCGGAUUUGUUAAAGACUAACUUAUGCGAAAGCAUUUGCCAAGGAUGUUUUCAUUA
rnacentral:rRNA from 1 species